GAUGAGAGGCGGUGCUUGUCUGGUCUCUAUGGCAAUUCCUGGUUGCUGGUGAUUGCUGGGAAUCCAGGAGUCAGUCCCACCAGUAAUACUAGAGGUGUUUGAGCAAAUGACUACAAAUGAGGCCAAUAAAGACAAGGACGAGGAAGAGGAAGAGACAGAGUCUGACACCUACAUGUGGAUGUCCAUCUUGUCCCUCUUGUUUUGCCUCCCCUUAGGCACAGCAGCUGUAAUCUCAUCUAGGCAGGUGAAAUGCUACAAUCAAUUGAGAUACUAUGACAAGGCAGCCGAGGCUUCCAAUCAAGCCUUUUGUUUGGCUGUCACAGGCAUUAUUUUGGGUACGUUCCCCAUCCCCUUGUUAGUGUUUACACUGAAUUUCUUUAAUUGACCUUUGUUCCUGUACAUGAACAACCAACUAAAUACAUGCUAUAUUGUAACUUU